rnacentral:rRNA from 1 species
UAGCGAAAUUCCUUGUCGGGUAAGUUCCGACCCGCACGAAAGGCGCAACGAUCUGGGCACUGUCUCAACGAGAGACUCGGUGAAAUUAUAGUACCUGUGAAGAUGCAGGUUACCCGCGACAGGACGGAAAGACCCCGUGGAGCUUUACUGCAACCUGAUAUGGAAUGUUUGUACCGCUUGUACAGGAUAGGUAGGAGCCGAAGAGACGUGUGCGCUAGCAUACGAGGAGGCAAUGGUGGGAUACUACCCUGGCUGUAUGACCAUUCUAACCCGCCACGCUUAGCGCGUGGGGAGACAGUGUCAGGUGGGCAGUUUGACUGGGGCGGUCGCCUCCUAAAGAGUAACGGAGGCGCCCAAAGGUUCCCUCAGAAUGGAUGGAAAUCAUUCGCAGAGUGUAAAGGCACAAGGGAGCUUGACUGCGAGACUGACAAGUCGAGCAGGGACGAAAGUCGGGCUUAGUGAUCCGGUGGUUCCGCAUGGAAGGGCCAUCGCUCAACGGAUAAAAGCUACCCCGGGGAUAACAGGCUUAUCUCCCCCAAGAGUCCACAUCGACGGGGAGGUUUGGCACCUCGAUGUCGGCUCGUCGCAUCCUGGGGCUGUAGUCGGUCCCAAGGGUUGGGCUGUUCGCCCAUUAAAGCGGCACGCGAGCUGGGUUCAGAACGUCGUGAGACAGUUCGGUCCCUAUCCGUCGCGGGCGCAGGAAAUUUGAGAGGAGCUGUCCUUAGUACGAGAGGACCGGGAUGGACACACCGCUGGUGUACCAGUUGUUCCGCCAGGAGCAUCGCUGGGUAGCUAUGUGUGGCAGGGAUAAACGCUGAAAGCAUCUAAGCGUGAAGCCCCCCUCAAGAUGAGAUUUCCCAUUUCUUCGGAAAGUAAGAUCCCUGAAAGAUGAUCAGGUAGAUAGGUUUGGAGUGGAAGUGUAGCGAUACAUGGAGCGGACAAAUACUAAUCGAUCGAGGACUUAACCAAAAA